rnacentral:rRNA from 1 species
UACGUAGGGUGCAAGCGUUAAUCGGAAUUACUGGGCGUAAAGCGUGCGCAGGCGGUUUUGUAAGUCUGUCGUGAAAGCCCCGGGCUCAACCUGGGAAUUGCGAUGGAGACUGCAAGGCUAGAAUCUGGCAGAGGGGGGUAGAAUUCCACGUGUAGCAGUGAAAUGCAUAGAGAUGUGGAGGAACACCGAUGGCGAAGGCAGCCCCCUGGGUCAAGAUUGACGCUCAUGCACGAAAGCGUGGGGAGCAAACAGG